AAUAUUGGACAAUGGGGGCAACCCUGAUCCAGCCAUGACGUGUGCGUGAAGAAGGUUUUCGGAUUUUAAAGCACUUUAAGCUGGGAGGAAGGGCUUUAGGUUAAUACCCUGAAGUUUUGACGUUACCAACAGAAUAAGCACCGGCUAACUCUGGUCCAGCAGCCGCGGUAAUACAGAGGGUGCAAGCGUUAAUCGGAAUUACUGGGCGUAAAGCGCGCGUAGGUGGUUCAGUAAGAUGGGUGCGAAAGCCCCGGGCUUAACCUGGGAACUGCUUUCAUAACUGCUGAGCUAGAGUACGGUAGAGGAUAGUGGAAUUUCCUGUGUAGCGGUGAAAUGCGUAGAUAUAGGAAGGAACACCAGUGGCGAAGGCGACUACCUGAACUGAUACUGACACUGAGGUGCGAAAGCGUGGGGAGCGAAC
rnacentral:rRNA from 1 species